GUCCAGGGUAACCAAGUGGACAUGGGAUCUGCCCGGUAAGCUGAACACUGUGGGUUCGAUUCCAUCCCUGGACA
rnacentral:tRNA from 1 species